UAGUUGAAAUUAGAAUUUGUUGGAGGCCUUGGAGCUUGUUGCUUUGAGGUUUGAUUGUAAGCUGUGAGUGAAAGUGAGUUUGUUGUUCAACUCUUGGUAGCAUUUUGAUUGUUUUUUGACUGCAUAUUGUAAAUUUCUUAGCAUUAGAAGUAUAAAAUAGUUUAUUUCCAGUAGCCUACAGUACAUACUGCACGUAUUUUGUUGAAAUCUCCUGAGCAUAAAAAAGGAUUAUAGUUUUUAACAUCCAUUUCCCAGUUCAAAAUUAUUCUUACUUUCCUUGCCUUACAUAAGAAAAGUAUUGCUUUCCAAAAAAAUUAAGAAAUGGAAGCACAUCAUUCAAAACGUGAAGGAAUUAGGGAAGAUGAGCUCGAUAGUCUAGAAGCAAAUGCGACCUACAACAUGAACCACAAAGCACGUGGCUCAGCGAUCAUUUUCAAUCACGAACAUUUUCUUGAAAAUUUGGAUCAAAGAAAAGGUACAGAUGUUGAUGCUUUCAAACUGCGAAAUUCUUUAGAAAGACUAGGGUUUUCUGUUGUCUCAUAUAAAGACCGCAAAGCAGAAGAAAUUGAGAACAUAAUCACUGAAGGUGCGUACAUAUGAAUGCGUCACAAACACAUGCAUUUCGCUUUUCAUCAACUGAUGUUCAGUUUAUUAUAUUAUCUGUAUCUAUGCAGAAACAGUAAAAUUAAGGUAUAAAUAUCGGGGCACCGAGCUUUGCUCGUUAUUUUUAUCCUAUUAUAUUAAGCGAGCAAUUUCUGUAUUUUUAUGUCUGGUUAUUUAUGUUCAACGGAUCUCAAGAACGGCUCUAACGAUUUUCACGAAAUUUGGAACAUAGUAGGUUUAUGAUAUAAACAUUCAAUUGCACUAGGUCUCAUCCUUGGGAAAACUCACUGAACGACAUUAAAAGGAUAAUUCAUUCUUGGCUGAAACAGCUGAGACAUUUGUCGUCUGUGGAUGGUAAAAAGUGAGCGAGUGAUUCUGUGGAAAAUCAAAAUAUCACAUCCCCGAAAUUCAUAAGCCGACUUAUAGCCAGCUGUUAGAUUUUGUCUGCCAUCCAUUCUUCACUUAAGUUUCUUUGUAGUAGUCGCGCUGGCAGUGUUUGAAUCUUGGUGCGCUUCUGCUGCCAACUUUAUUUUAAUCAGCUGACUUGUUGGUCACUCAUGUUUUUCGUCAUUCUUUCCUCAUUUAUAGCUUUAGAAUACAUUGCAUAUUUUUUAAAGAUUUUCGUCAAUUGUCCUAUUUAGGUUGUUUUCAGGUCUAAACUUUUUAAGCUUGUUUUUUUUUUGGUUCUGCAUUGUACAACACAACGUUACCCCCUGCUUCGUCUCUUGUGAACUUACUUCAUUCUUGUUCGCUCCAACUCGCUUUGUUCAGAGAUGAUGUAGCUCUGCAUUCUUCAAGUUUUGAAACCGUUCUUUUGCACUCAAUCUCAAUCUUCAGAUCACUUUUCAAAUGUUAUAAAGUGACUACAAUCAAGUCAUCAAUCAAUCAUAAGUUUUUAACUUUGAAGUCUUAAAUUUUCACAAUCUUCAAUUCAGUGCAUCGCAACCACAUGUUUCAUGUAUACUCAAGUGUUUUUCCAAGUUACUUUGGUCUCAGGUUUUAAUGAAUUUCAAUCAAAUUGCAUCUCUCAAACAUUCAUUCUGCAAUUCUAACUCACUUUUUACAAAUUUGAGUUGUGCUCCAAGUUCUUCACAUAAGAUUGUCUUGCUGUUGCAUCACGUUGCACUGUGACUUUGCUGUGUCGUAGCUGUUAACCACUAAUAGCCACAUUGUUGCCGCUUUUCUUCCCUUGGAACGACUUCAUCAUUUUGGAUCCUCGCUCAACUCCAUGUUUCUCUUGAUUCGUGAGAAUAUUUGCUCCUCCAGUAAUCCUGCUUCUGCUGCAGCUUCCCAUCGACAUGUCCUGGCCUGGAUAUGUCCUAUCUCUUGGCACUUUGAAGCUGCUAACCUUACAUUGAGCUAAGUAUUUUGUAUUAAUUUACCUUUUCUUUUACAUAUACGUACUAUCUACUGUUUUUGAUUUUCAAAAUAGUUAACCAAAAAAUCAGAUUUUAUUGACCAUUUAUUCAUUAGGCCAUCUUCAUUGUCAUUUUGAAAUUUAGCAACUUGUUUCACAUUGCCAUUCACUGGCUCAAGCCUGAAUUAACAUGUAUUUUGUACACCAAAUUUUUGUGAAUCUUUUCAAUUAUCUUUCAUUCUAGUCAAAGUUAUUAUAAUUUGACUUUUGAUUACAAUUAUCUGCUUCAAUUAUUUUGGUUCUUAGUUCCAUUCCCUUGCUUGGAUUUGUAAGAAUCUCCUUUACAAUUAU